rnacentral:misc_RNA from 1 species
UUUCCGUAGGUGAACCUGCGGAAGGAUCAUUAUUGAAUAAACCUGAUGUGACUGUUAGCCGGCUUUUCGAAGCAUGUGCUCGUCCGUCAUCUUUAAUCUCUCCACCUGUGCACAUUUUGUAGUCUUGGAUACCUCUCGAGGCAACUCGGAUUUUAGGAUCGCCGUGCUGCACAAGUCGGCUUUCCUUUCAUUUCCAAGACUAUGUUUUUAUAUACACCAAAGUAUGUUUAAAGAAUGUCAUCAAUAGGAACUUGUUUCCUAUAAAAUUAUACAACUUUCAGCAACGGAUCUCUUGGCUCUC